GACGAACGCUGGCGGCGUGCCUAAUACAUGCAAGUUGAGCGCUGAAGGUUGGUACUUGUACCAACUGGAUGAGCAGCGAACGGGUGAGUAACGCGUGGGGAAUCUGCCUUUGAGCGGGGGACAACAUUUGGAAACGAAUGCUAAUACCGCAUAAAAACUUUAAACACAAGUUUUAAGUUUGAAAGAUGCAAUUGCAUCACUCAAAGAUGAUCCCGCGUUGUACUAGCUAGUUGGUGAGGUAAAGGCUCACCAAGGCGAUGAUACAUAGCCGACCUGAGAGGGUGAUCGGCCACAUUGGGACUGAGACACGGCCCAAACUCCUACGGGAGGCAGCAGUAGGGAAUCUUCGGCAAUGGACGAAAGUCUGACCGAGCAACGCCGCGUGAGUGAAGAAGGUUUUCGGAUCGUAAAACUCUGUUGGUAAAGAAGAACGUUGGUGAGAGUGGAAAGCUCAUCAAGUGACGGUAACUACCCAGAAAGGGACGGCUAACUACGUG
rnacentral:rRNA from 1 species